UGGGGAAUAUUGCACAAUGGGCGCAAGCCUGAUGCAGCCAUGCCGCGUGUAUGAAGAAGGGCCCUUCGGGUUGUAAAGUACUUUCAGCGGGGAGGAAGGCGUUGUGGUUAAUAACCGCAGCGAUUGACGUUACUCGCAGAAGAAGCACCGGCUAACUCCGUGCCAGCAGCCGCGGUAAUACGGAGGGUUGCAAGCGUUAAUCGGAAUUACUGGGCGUAAAGCGCACGCAGGCGGUCUGUCAAGUCGGAUGUGAAAUCCCCGGGCUCAACCUGGGAACUGCAUCCGAAACUGGCAGGCUAGAGUCUUGUAGAGGGGGGUAGAAUUCCAGGUGUAGCGGUGAAAUGCGUAGAGAUCUGGAGGAAUACCGGUGGCGAAGGCGGCCCCCCUGGACAAAGACUGACGCUCAGGUGCGAAAGCGUGGGGAGCAAACA
rnacentral:rRNA from 1 species